AACGAACGCUGGCGGCAGGCCUAAAACAUGCAAGUCGAACGCUGUAGCAAUACAGAGUGGCGCACGGGUGAGUAACACGUGGGAAUGUGCCUUUUGGUACGGAACAACUUUUGGAAACGAAAGCUAAUACCGUAUGGUUCCUUCGGGGUAAAGAUUUAUCGCCAAAAGAGCAGCCCGCGUCUGAUCAGCUAGUUGGUAGGGUAAUGGCCUACCAAGGCGACGAUCAGUAGCUGGUCUGAGAGGACGAUCAGCCACACUGGGACUGAGACACGGCCCAGACUCCUACGGGAGGCAGCAGUUAGGAAUAUUGGACAAUGGGCGCAAGCCUGAUCCGGCCAUGCCGCGUGAGUGAUGAAGGCCUUCGGGUUGUAAAGCUCUUUAGUCCACGAAUAUAAUGACUGUAGUGGAAGAAUAAGCCCCGGCUAACUUCGUGCCAGCCGCCGCGGUAAAAC
rnacentral:rRNA from 1 species